AAUUUAUACAUCGACCUUUCGCCGUGUGACAACAUCAGUGUCUUAAUUACGGUCAAUUGUAAUGAAUUUAAGCAGGAAGUGUGGUUGAUUAGCUCUUAAUUGGCUUCAGAUGGUGUCGGUUUGAAUGUGAGUGAGUGAAGCGGCAUGCUCUCAAACGCCAAUACUCUGCCGAAGCUGUAUCUGUCCGUCAUGGAUGAUGUGAUGGACAGUGUCAGAGAGUUGUUCUGUGAUGAAGGAGUGGAUGAACGAGUGCUGGACACCCUCAGACAGCUCUGGGAGUCAAAGGUCGUGCAGUCUAAAGCUGUGGAGGGUUUCAUUAAAGACAACAAUCCAUCCAAUUUUGUUCUGCAGCUGCCAUCAAACUACACACAGACUCUCCAUAAACCCACCGUUGUCAUUCCAGCUGCUCAGAAUGUGCAGAAUUUCUCCUCUAAAGCAAACAACUGUGGUUCAGUUGCCACAUUCUCUCUGCCGCCUGGAAUAACGUAUCCGGUCCAGAUUCCCGCUGGCGUCACGCUGCAGACGGCCUCAGGACAUUUCUACAAAGUCAAUGUUCCUGUAAUGGUCACGCGAGGAGCUCAGCAUGUCCUGACCCGACCUGCUUCAAACCUGGUCUCUCAUCCCGCGGCCGUUGCUCGCAGCAUCCCGGCCCAUCUGUCUGUUCCGUGUCCUCCAGCGCCAUCUGGUUGUGUGGCGUCUGAGACACCGCCAAAUCCUCCGCAACCAUUGCCCCAUCAGCUCUGUCAACAAACUGAUGACAAACCCUCCCCAUCAGCCUCUGACAGUCAGAGCGAGUUCACCCUCGAUGGCAUUGAGUUCAGCCCGCAGCCCAUCGACAUGAGUGCCUCAUCGUUCUUCACUCCGCCAGCACAGGGGCCGUGCUCGGAUUAUACCAGGAAUGUGAUGGAAACGGCCUUAAAAGAGCCAGACGGAGUAGAUGAUGAAGAAACUGCUCUUCCAGACUUGCAGGCUAAAACUAGUCAUGACAUUAAGCUUGAGACGGAGCUCCAGACGGACAUCAACUUCAACCAGCUGGUGGACAUCGCACAACUGGAUGGAGUCGCUGACAGCAGCUCCGACACUGAGGAAGAUGACGAUGAAGAUGAUGAUGAUGAUGAUCUGGGGCUCGUUGGAGAGAAUGAGUUUCUGGGAAUGAUCAAUGGCAAUGGGGAGGAGGAGUUGGAAGAGGAAGAGGAUCCGCUGAACUCUGGAGAUGACGUGAGUGAACAGGAUAUCCCAGAGAUCUUUGACACUGAGAAUGUCAUCGUUUGCCAGUAUGACAAGAUUCACCGUAGUAAGAACCGAUGGAAGUUUUACUUGAAAGAUGGAGUGAUGUGUUUCGGAGGGAAAGACUAUGUUUUCUCGAAGGCUGUGGGAGAGGCGGAGUGUGUCUUUCGUCUCUUCCUUUGUCUCCCACCGAAGCCCCUCAAAAGCAUUCGUGGCCGGAGAACUGUGGGAGUUUCUGCCAUUUUGUGCUCUAUAAGAAGAAGGACACCAUGGAGGCCACCACAUCCUCUCAGAGUUCCUUCUGCGGGCUGUCGUUACGAAACAUCACACACAGACUUCAGUCUUUGUGUUUCAGGGUCAGGCCCAACAUGGACACCAAACACAAGAGGACCGUCACAGUGCAGGAGAUCACCGUCCUGAAGAUCAGCGCUGAAGGAUUGACAACAAAUGCCUCAUGAACCUGAAGCUGGGAAACUUCAGCUACAAGAAACAUCCAUUAAAACUCGGAGAGCUGCAGGGAAACCACUUCACGGUGGUUCUCAGUGGCUUACUGCGUCUGUCGGGCGUGUCCUCGGACACCCACAGCAAACGUUCCCCGCGCAGCAGACGAGAUGAAGCAAUGCACUCCUCCGACAGAUUCUUCUGUUUCUUCAUUCUUAGAGGGCCUUUAUGCAUUCUUUGCUCACAAAAAGGACUUGACAUCUAUGAAAGGCGUUAAAGAUUGAAGACUGGCUGUUCUCCUGCUGCUCGUGACGGAUGAUCACAUGACUCAUCAGAUCUAAACUGCUGUUAUCCUCACAGAAGCACAAAUGCUAGUGAACAAAGAAACUGAUACAGGUUUGGAACAACUUAAGGACAGUCGGAUUAUCAGUCCACUAUCUGUGAGGAGACCGAGUGCUUUGGUGCUCCAGUACCAUAACCACCACCAUGACCCCUGACCCCUAAUGUUCCUAAACUAAUGUAAUAAUUGUUGUAACCAUUAUGUGUUUAUAUAUUGAGCGGAACAUUUAACAAUUUUUGAAUUGUCCAAAUUACACCCUUUGUGAUUUUAUAUAGCAAGGAGAAAACCACAACUUCUCAAUGUUGUUUUGUGAAUCUCGUCAAUCAGGUUAAGCAGGGCUUUGGACUGCUGUUGUGUAAUAUUCAGUUCCUGUGAAAAACUGUUCCAGUGGGCGGAGCAUAUGUGCAUAUUCAAAUAAGAACAAACGAAUGGAAUGAAAGUUGUUGUUUUAUCUUGUUUUAUCAUGUUUGUUAGAUUAUUUCGAUAAGGUAAGACAGCUGAAUGGAUGCGUCCCGUUUACAUGUUCAGCUGUUCAUAAUCUUACAUAAUAGGCUAAAAUGAUCGGCUUUGCACGUGCUUUUAUUCGAAAGCUUUUAUCAUGGUUUUGUGUCAUCGUGUUUGCUGUGUAGCCUAACGUUAGGAAUACAAAAAAAUAAUCAAUUACAUAUUUCUGUUUUUCCUCAUUACUUCUGAAGUUGUAAACUGUCCCUAUAAUUGUUUAUUUUUCAGCAUCGUGACUUUCACAAAAAUUACUGAAAUAAAAUUCAGUUUUAAUAAAGAUUUUAAAAUGUU